GAUGAACGCUGGCGGCGUGCCUAAUACAUGCAAGUCGAGCGAACAGAUGAGGAGCUUGCUCCUCUGACGUUAGCGGCGGACGGGUGAGUAACACGUGGAUAACCUACCUAUAAGACUGGGAUAACUUCGGGAAACCGGAGCUAAUACCGGAUAAUAUAUUGAACCGCAUGGUUCAAUAGUGAAAGACGGUUUUGCUGUCACUUAUAGAUGGAUCCGCGCCGCAUUAGCUAGUUGGUAAGGUAACGGCUUACCAAGGCAACGAUGCGUAGCCGACCUGAGAGGGUGAUCGGCCACACUGGGACUGAGACACGGUCCAGACUCCUACGGGAGGCAGCAAUAGGGAAUCUUCCGCAAUGGGCGAAAGCCUGACGGAGCAACGCCGCGUGAGUGAUGAAGGUCUUCGGAUCGUAAAACUCUGUUAUUAGGGAAGAACAAAUGUGUAAGUAACUAUGCACGUCUUGACGGUACCUAAUCAGAAAGCCACGGCUAACUACGUG
rnacentral:rRNA from 1 species